UACGAAGGGGGCUAGCGUUGCUCGGAAUCACUGGGCGUAAAGGGUGCGUAGGCGGGUCUUUAAGUCAGGGGUGAAAUCCUGGAGCUCGACUCCAGAACUGCCUUUGAUACUGAGGAUCUUGAGUUCGGGAGAGGUGAGUGGAACUGCGAGUGUAGAGGUGAAAUUCGUAGAUAUUCGCAAGAACACCAGUGGCGAAGGCGGCUCACUGGCCCGAUACUGACGCUGAGGAGCGAAAGCGUGGGGAGCAAACAGG
rnacentral:rRNA from 1 species